rnacentral:lncRNA from 1 species
CUUUCAUCUGAGGUCCAGGUCAGUCCAAGUAGAGAGAGAUUUCUGAAGGAAUCUCUUACAAGUUAUCAUUCAGUCUUUUUGAGAAAAUUCAUAUUGAACAACUUUGUUCUCUACAAUUAAAGAAGAAGGAAAAAACCCUUUGACUACCUAACAACAGCCAUUUAAGUGAAUAAUAAUUGGGGUUUGGUAUUUGCUACUGUUAAAACAUGAUUUGCCUUGCUUAGAGCAUCUUAGGACACAAGAGCCUGAAGGACUCUAGAGGGCAUCGCUUUAAUCCUUUCAUUUUACAGAUGAGAAAUCUGAGGCUUGUGAGGUUAAGUGAAUAAUUUGCCUGAGGACAUACCCAUAAAUUUAAUUUUACUGGACUUGCUAUCUAAAUGCUCUCAGAAAGAAUGGCUUAUGAUGAGCUCUUCUAAAACCACAAUUAUUUUAGUGUUUUGCAACAUGUAGCAGGUUCAUAGCUAAACACCCUCCUGGAAGGUCAAUUCGUUUCGAAGGGUUACAUUAUGAAAGGAAUUUCUCCUGAGGCAUUCAUCAGGAAGUUACACGGAAUAAAGUUAGUGACUUUACGAGUGCAUAACUGAAAUAGUUUCAUAACCACAACCUGCAAUUGGUAGCAGAUGCUUUGAAAACUUUCAGGACAAAAUGACCACGGGCUUCAAUGUCUCCUUUUUCCAGGUAUGAACAUACUCUGGACUUUUCUGAGAAAAAUCUUUCUUCAAGUGCUCCUUUUUGCAGAGGGGUAGAGUGACUUUCUAUACAGAGUUCAGUUGAUUAAUUUUUGGUAAGAAUAAUUUCAACUCAUUUUCUAUGUGAUUGGUUCAAGUACAGAGACUUGCACUCCAUAUCCUCAUCAGAGAACUUAAUUUCAAACCUUCAGCUGCCAAACUCUUAUGAAAAGUUUGAUAAGGAGAAAUAUACAUGGAACUUUACCUGAAAGGCUGAUGGCAGCGGCAAUACACUGGCACGGGACGUCGAAUCGGGGCAAGAGCUCUGCCUCCGAGGUCCCUUCUGCCUGGUGCUCGACCUCGUCUGCCGCGCCCCUGCAGACGGUUUGGCUGUUGAGCGGACCCCUGGCUUUGCUCCGUCUGCUGGAGUCAGAGGCGGACUCGCCACCCACGACCAGCGACGGAGCGAGACCUUCCGCGGUCUUCCCUUCGCACGUCUCUCCCGCGACGUGCUGCGCGUUUUCCUAACCGGGUAGGCUUUUUGGAAGAAGGGAGAGGAAGCAGGUACAGACAGCGGGGAAAGGGUAGCAGAGAGGCAGAGGAGAGCAGGGAGGAUGGAGCCCUUUCACGGGGGACACGGACCCAGAAAAGCUCAACCGUGAAGACAGCCCCGUCCUGACUUGAGACGACGGAUCCCGAUUUAACGUGACGUUUAGAUGUAACUAGCAAAACACUCCAUUCCUUGGCAAGCUGCUGUUUUGCAGACUCCAAGUCAGGGCUGAGCAGUGUCUAAGGUGGACCAAACCGAGUCCACAGGGAAGCAGUGCUGAGGGAUAGUCUGCAGUUGACUCUCAGAGACGGUGACACCGAUGUCCGAAAGGGGCGAAAGGGGCGUGUUUCUUCCCACGCAGGUAACGUCACCACGUGGGGGUCACGAAUAGACCUCUGGAGAAACCAGACUGCGGUCAGCAGCUGCGGGGGUUGCUGAAACUCAGCUUUCGCUGUGCUGGGAGUCCCUGUCCUCGAGCUCGGCUCAGUUAGCAAGUCACUGCAAUUCAAGGCAAUGAAUGCGACAGCUGAGUUACAUGCAUAUAUGUGACGAGGUAAUUCUGCCUGAGAAUCCAGAAUAUCUUUGCAGACGGAGCCUUUGACGGGAGGCUUAACAAGGGAGGGUCUUCGAGGAGAGCGGAAGGGAGGAACCUGUGCCCAAAAGAUGAGCAGGCAUCCAAGGGUGUGGUUGUUGGGACGACCUCCUGGCUCAUCUCGGACCACGUCCCCGCCUGGGAACAGGCGCAGAUGCGCGUCCUGAGCCCGAGUGCACCAGGCUUCCGGAAGAGCUGGAGGUGAGAGCAGCUCACCUUCUUUCGCCUCAUCACCAAUUUUCCUUCUCGCAAACAAGCUUCCUGUGUGGGCUUCCUCCCUUCCACCCUCUUAGGUUCUCUUACUACUCACUUAUUGGCUGAAUAAUUCGGAGUUAUAAUCAACAAAUUAGAGGCUAAUUUAAAUGUUUGGCUUCAUCCAAAGUUGA